rnacentral:rRNA from 1 species
GACGAACGCUGGCGGCGUGCUUAACACAUGCAAGUCGAACGAAGAGCGAUGGAAGCUUGCUUCUAUCAGUCUUAGUGGCGAACGGGUGAGUAACGCGUAAUCAACCUGCCCUUCAGAGGGGGACAACAGUGGGAAACGACUGCUAAUACCGCAUACGAUCUAAACUCGGCAUCGAGGAUAGAUGAAAGGUGGCCUCUACACGUAAGCUAUCACUGAAGGAGGGGAUUGCGGCGGGUGAGAUGGUGGGAGGGGUAAAGGCCCACCAAGGCGAUGAUCAGUAGCCGGGCUGAGAGGAUGAACGGCCACAUUGGGACUGAGACACGGCCCAGACUCCUACGGGAGGCAGCAGUGGUGAAUCUUCCGCAAUGGACGAAAGUCUGACGGAGCAACGCCGCGUGAGUGAUGACGGCCUUCGGGUUGGAAAGCUCUGUUAAUCGGGACGAAAGGCCUUCUUGCGAAUAGUGAGAAGGAUUGACGGUACCGGAAUAGAAAGCCACGGCUAACUACGUG